rnacentral:rRNA from 1 species
ACACGACUACAUUAGAUACCCCUGUAGUCCCAGCUGUAAACUAUGUGCGUUAAGUGUGUCAGUGACCACGUGUCACUGAGGUGCCGAAGGGAAACCGUGAAACGCACCGCCUGGGGAGUACGGUCGCAAGGCUGAACUUAAAGGAAUUGGCGGGGGAGCACCACAACGGGUGGAGCCUGCGGUUUAAUCGGACUCAACGCCGGGAAUCUCACCGGAUAAGACAGCUGAAUGAUAGUCGGGAUGAAGACUCUACUUGACUAGCUG